UACGGAGGGGGCAAGCGUUGUUCGGAAUUACUGGGCGUAAAGGGCUCGUAGGCGGCCAACUAAGUCCGACGUGAAAUCCCCAGGCUUAACCUGGGAACUGCGUCGGAUACUGGAUGGCUUGAAUUCGGGAGAGGGAUGCAGAAUUCCAGGUGUAGCGGUGAAAUGCGUAGAUAUCUGGAGGAACACCGGUGGCGAAGGCGGCAUUCUGGACCGAUAUUGACGCUGAGGAGCGAAAGCCAGGGGAGCAAACGGG
rnacentral:rRNA from 1 species